GACGAACGCUGGCGGCGUGCCUAAUACAUGCAAGUAGAACGCUGAAGAGAGGAGCUUGCUCUUCUUGGAUGAGUUGCGAACGGGUGAGUAACGCGUAGGUAACCUGCCUUGUAGCGGGGGAUAACUAUUGGAAACGAUAGCUAAUACCGCAUAACAAUGGAUGACCCAUGUCAUUUAUUUGAAAGGGGCAAAUGCUCCACUACAAGAUGGACCUGCGUUGUAUUAGCUAGUAGGUGAGGUAACGGCUCACCUAGGCGACGAUACAUAGCCGACCUGAGAGGGUGAUCGGCCACACUGGGACUGAGACACGGCCCAGACUCCUACGGGAGGCAGCAGUAGGGAAUCUUCGGCAAUGGGGGCAACCCUGACCGAGCAACGCCGCGUGAGUGAAGAAGGUUUUCGGAUCGUAAAGCUCUGUUGUAAGUCAAGAACGAGUGUGAGAGUGGAAAGUUCACACUGUGACGGUAGCUUACCAGAAAGGGACGGCUAACUACGUGCCAGCAGCCGCGGUAAUACGUAGGUCCCGAGCGUUGUCCGGAUUUAUUGGGCGUAAAGCGAGCGCAGGCGGUUUGAUAAGUCUGAAGUUAAAGGCUGUGGCUCAACCAUAGUUCGCUUUGGAAACUGUCAAACUUGAGUGCAGAAGGGGAGAGUGGAAUUCCAUGUGUAGCGGUGAAAUGCGUAUUAUAUGGAGGAACACCGGUGGCGAAAGCGGCUCUCUGGUCUGUACUGACGCUGAGGCUCGAAGCGGGGGGAGCGAACAUG
rnacentral:rRNA from 1 species